rnacentral:lncRNA from 1 species
AAUAAAUAUAUUUUCUUUCUUUACACUGACUCACUAGUCCUACUAACUUUUCCAAUUAUUAUUACCUCAACUAGCAUUUAUAAAGACAGUUUGUACCCCAAUGAUGUAAAAUCAUCCAUUGCAUUUACCUUUAUUAGCAGCCUCAUCCCCACCACCAGAUUCAUCUAUACAGGCCAAUAAACUAUUGUUUCAAACUGACACUGAAUGACAGUUCAAACCCUAAAGCUUUCACUCAGCUUUAAACUAGAUUACUUCUUUACAAUAUUCAUUCCAGUAGCACUAUUUGUCACAUGAUGUAUUAUAGAAUUCUCAAUAUUGUAUAUAUAUACUCAGGCCCCAACAUAAAUCAAUUCUUCAAAUAUCUACUCAUUUUUCUCAUUACUAUACUAAUUCUAGUCACUGCCAACAACCUAUUCCAACUCUUUAUCGAAUGGAAAGGCGUCCUUCCUGCUAAUUGGCUGAUGGUAUGGCGGAACAGACACCAACACAGCAACCCUUCAAGCAAUCUGACAUGAUUGCCUCAGAGACAUCAGCUUUAUCCUAGCAAUAGCACAAUUUCUCUUGUCCAGUAUAUUAGAACUUCAGCAAAUAUUUAUCCUCAACCCUAGCCCCAGUACUCUCCCACUAAUUGGUUUUCUAGUAGCAGCAGCUAGCAGAUCAGCUCAAUUUGGUCUCCACCCCUAACUCCUGUCAGCUAUAGAAGCCCCAGCACCCAUCUCAGCCCUACUCCACUCUAGCACAAUAGUGGUAGCAGGCGUUUUCCUACCAAUACAAUUUUAUUCCCUAAUAGAUAAUAACAUAAAUAUUCAAACACUCACAUUAUGCUUAGGAGCUAUUACUACACUAUUUACAGCAAUCUGCACUCUAACACAAAAUGACAUAUAAAAAAUUGUGGCAUUUUUCACCUCGAGUUAACUAGGACUCAUAAUAGUUACAAUUGGUAUUAACCAACCUUACCUAGCUUUUCUUCAUAUUUGUACACAUGCCUUUUUCAAAGCUACAUUAUUUAUAUGCUCCAGGUCUAUUAUUCAUAACCUCAAUGAUGAGCAAGCUAUUCAAAACAUAGGUAGGCUAUUUAAAGCUUGCCCUUUACCUCUUCCUCACAUACUAUUGGCAGCCUCGCACUCAGGUAUAUACCUUUCCUCAAAGGCUUCUGCUCCAAAGAUCUUAUUAUUGAAGCCACAAACACAUCAUAUACCAAUGCCCGAGCCCUCUUAAUCACACUCAUUGCCACCUCCCUAACAGCUGUCUGCAGUACCCAAAUUAUCUUCUUCGCACUGGUAGGACAACUUCGCUUCACAACCUUAGUUGUUAUCAACAAAAAUAAUGCCUCCUAAUUAAUUCAAUUAAACAUUGAAAAAUUGGUAGCAUUUUUGCCAGAUUUUUAAUCUCCAACAAUAUCUCCCCAAUAUCAAUUCCCCAAAUAAUUAUGCCUCUCCAUAUAAAGCUCACAGUUCUGGGCACAACUAUCCUAGGCUUCUCACUAGCACUAUAACUCAACCUUAUCACUAAUAACCUCAAACUUAAAUACCCAUCACAAAUAUUUAAAUUUUCCAAUGUAUUAGGAUUUUAUUCAACCUCAAUGCGCCAUGCAACACCAUAUUCAAACUUCCUUGCAAGCCAAAAUAUAGCCUCCCUUCUACUAAAUCUAAUCUGAAUAGAAAGGACAACACCAAAAACACUGCCCAACUUCAGAUCAUAGCCUCAACCACUGUACCUGCCCAGAAAGGCCUAAUUAUGCUCCACUUUUUCUCUUUCCUUAUUCCAUUUCUCCUAACCUUAUUCUUAAUCAUUUAACCC